CCUACGGGAGGCAGCAGUGGGGAAUAUUGCACAAUGGGGGAAACCCUGAUGCAGCGACGCCGCGUGAGCGAUGAAGUAUUUCGGUAUGUAAAGCUCUAUCAGCAGGGAAGAAAAUGACGGUACCUGACUAAGAAGCCCCGGCUAACUACGUGCCAGCAGCCGCGGUAAUACGUAGGGGGCAAGCGUUAUCCGGAUUUACUGGGUGUAAAGGGAGCGCAGACGGCGGUGCAAGCCGGAAGUGAAAGCCCGGGGCCCAACCCCGGGACUGCGAGGGAAACUGUGCGGCUAGAGUGAGGGAGGGGCAGGUGGAAGGACGAGGGUAGGGGUGAGAGGAGGAGAGAUGAGGAGGAACAACAGGGGAGAAGGCGGCCGGCUGGACAGUAACGGACGUUGAGGCGCGAAAGCGUGGGGAGCAAACAGGAGUAGAGACCCGAGGAGGC
rnacentral:rRNA from 1 species